rnacentral:lncRNA from 10 species
AAAAAAAAAAGCAUUUACUCUGAAAAGAGGAAGUCUUUAUUCACUCACCUGGGGGAACAGAUUACUUCCAGAGAAUAAUUUACUCACUGUAAGAACAAGGCCACUAAUAAAUAAUGAAAAUAAUGAGGGCAAGAACAACACCAAUAAUAAUAAUAAUGAGUGGGCUUAUGAGAGUGACACGUGGCCUUCCAGCAGCCUUUGGCUCUGAGGUGAUAGCAUUAUUCUCCCUGCAGAAACCUCAAACUUGAGACACGGUGGGAAAUCAGGAAGACAUGAGGCUUUGCUCAACACUGGAGAACACCAGUUCUUUUCAGUUUGUAUGCAUCUUUAUCAGGUAGACACAAACAAAGAGGCAACAAAGAAAUUAGAAGGUUGUAUAAGAAGCUGCAUAGAAUCACAAUGACUGCGUUGUCCUGAAACCAACCCAGGUGACUUUCUGAAUAAGUUGGUGCUCAAUUAAUUUACUGUUAACUAGUACUCCUAUAGCUAGCUACAUUGCUUUCUAGUUCCAAUUAGACCAUUAGGAAGUUUGGCAAGUUGAACUUUUCUCUGUGUCUCAAAUCUGCCAUUCUUCAAAUGGAGAGAAAGAAUCUGAACUUCACAGGGAGUAAAACACUUUGAAAUGUAAAUAUAAAUGUAGAUGCA